UACGGAGGGGCAAGCGUUGUUCGGAAUUACUGGGCGUAAAGGGCUCGUAGGCGGCCAGCACAAGUCAGUUGUGAAAUCUCCGGGCUUAACUCGGAAAGGUCAACUGAUACUGUGCGACUAGAGUGCAGAAGGGGGCAACUGGAAUUCUCGGUGUAGCGGGUGAAAUGCGUAGAUAUCGAGAGGGAACACCCUGCGGCGAAGGCGGGUUGCUGGGCUGACACUGACGCUGAUGCGCGAAAGCCAGGGGAGCGAACGGG
rnacentral:rRNA from 1 species